rnacentral:rRNA from 1 species
GCGUGAGUGACGAAGGUCUUCGGAUUGUAAAGCUCUUUUGGCGGGGAAGAUAAUGACGGUACCCGCAGAAUAAGCCCCGGCUAACUUCGUGCCAGCAGCCGCGGUAAUACGAAGGGGGCUAGCGUUGUUCGGAAUCACUGGGCGUAAAGCGCACGUAGGCGGAUGUGCCAGUCAGGGGUGAAAUCCCGGAGCUCAACUUCGGAACUGCCUCUGAUACAGCACGUCUUGAGUCCGGAAGAGGUGGGUGGAAUUCCUAGUGUAGAGGUGAAAUUCGU